rnacentral:rRNA from 1 species
CGGAAGAGGUAACCGGCAGACGGCUCAGUAACACGUGGACAACUUACCCUUGGGACCGGGAUAACCCNUGGGAAACUGGGGCUAAUACCGGAUAGAGCAUCGGUUGCUGGAAUGCACGAUGGUCUAAAGCUGAGGCGCCCAAGGAUAGGUCUGCGGCCGAUUAGGUUGUUGUUGAUGUGACGGAUCAACAAGCCUACGAUCGGUACGGGUUGUGAGAGCAAUAGCCCGGAGAUGGGUUCUGAGAGAAGAACCCAGGUCCUACGGGACGCAUCAGGCGCGAAAACUUUACAAUGUGCGAAAGCACGAUAAGGGAACUCUGAGUGCCUCCUAAGGAGGCUGUUCGGGUGUCUAAAAAGCAUCCGAAGGAGGGGCUGGGUAAGACCGGUGCCAGCCGCCGCGGUAACACCGGCAGCCCAAGUGGUAGCCACGCUUAUUGGGUCUAAAGCGUCCGUAGCCGGCCAAGUAAGUUCUUUGGGAAAUUUGACCGCUUAACGGUCAAGCUAUCAGGGAAUACUGCUUGGCUUGGGACCGGGAGAGGUCAGAGGUACUCCAAGGGUAGGGGUGAAAUCCGUUAAUCCUUGGGGGACCACCGGUAGCGAAGGCGUCUGACCAGACCGGGUCCGACGGUGAGGGACGAAGGCUAGGGUCGCGAACCGGAUUAGAUACCCGGGUAGUCCUAGCUGUAAACGAUGCGGGCCAGGUGUUGGCAUUACUGCGAGUGAUGCCAGUGCCGAAGGGAAGCCGUUAAGCCCGCCAUCUGGGGAGUACGGUCGCAAGGCUGAAACUUAA